CCUACGGGAGGCAGCAGUGAGGAAUAUUGGUCAAUGGCCGGAAGGCUGAACCAGCCAUGCCGCGUGAAGGUCAGUGCCCUAUGGGCGUUAAACUUCUUUUGUGCGGGAGCAAUAAUGGUCACGUGUGGCCAGACGAGAGUACCGUACGAAUAAGCAUCGGCUAACUCCGUCCCAGCAGCCGCGGUAUUACGGGGGAUGCAAGCGUUAUCCGGAUUUAUUGGGUUUAAAGGGUGCGUAGGCUGUGAGGUAAGUCAGCGGGGAAAUGCCCGCGGUGAACGGGGUGAAGUGCCAUUGAUACUGGCUGGCUGGAAUGCGGAUGCCGUGGGAGGAAUGUGUGGUGUAGCGGUGAAAUGCAUAGAUCGCA
rnacentral:rRNA from 1 species